AAAAACAAUGUAUGAGGAGAGAUCUCAUAUAAAAUCAUAACUUUAUCCAUAUUGCUUACAGGUACAACAUUCCGCAAUACAAGCAUGAAAAACCUUUCCACUUUUAUGUGACAGGCAAAGCAUGCUCAAGGGUAGUUCGAAUCUGAAUCUGAAUCA